rnacentral:rRNA from 1 species
GAUCAUGGCUCAGGAUGAACGCUGGCGGCGUGCUUAACACAUGCAAGUCGAACGAAGCACUUAAUGAGAUUUCUUCGGAUUGAUUAUUUUGUGACUGAGUGGCGGACGGGUGAGUAACGCGUGGGUAACCCUGCCCCCAGACCCGGGGGAUAACAGUCGGAAACGACUGCUAAUACCGCAUAAGCGCACAGUGCCGCAUGGGCACGGUGUGAAAAAACUCCGGUGGUCUGGGAUGGACCCGCGUCCGAUUAGUUAGUUGGUGGGGUAACGGCCCACCAAGACUGCGAUCGGUAGCCGACCUGAGAGGGUGACCGGCCACAUUGGGACUGAGACACGGCCCAGACUCCUACGGGAGGCAGCAGUGGGGAAUAUUGCACAAUGGAGGAAACUCUGAUGCAGCGACGCCGCGUGAGCGAAGAAGUAUUUCGGUAUGUAAAGCUCUGUCAGCAGGGAAGAUUAAUGACGGUACCUGACCAAGAAGCCCCGGCUAACUACGUG